rnacentral:rRNA from 1 species
GAUGAACGCUGGCGGCGUGCCUAAUACAUGCAAGUCGAGCGAACAGACGAGGAGCUUGCUCCUCUGACGUUAGCAGCGGACGGGUGAGUAACACGUGGAUAACCUACCUAUAGGACUGGGAUAACUUCGGGAAACCGGAGCUAAUACCGGAUAAUAUAUUGAACCGCAUGGUUCAAUAGUGAAAGACGGUUUUGCUGUCACUUAUAGAUGGAUCCGCGCCGCAUUAGCUAGUUGGUAAGGUAACGGCUUACCAAGGCAACGAUGCGUAGCCGACCUGAGAGGGUGAUCAGCCACACUGGAACUGAGACACGGUCCAGACUCCUACGGGAGGCAGCAGUAGGGAAUCUUCCGCAAUGGGCGAAAGCCUGACGGAGCAACGCCGCGUGAGUGAUGAAGGUCUUCGGAUCGUAAAACUCUGUUAUUAGGGAAGAACAAAUGUGUAAGUAACUAUGCACGUCUUGACGGUACCUAAUCAGAAAGCCACGGCUAACUACGUG